UAAAAGUCGUAACAAGGUUUCUGUAGGUGAACCUGCAGAAGGAUCAUUAGUGAAGAUUUGGGCAGGCCAUACGGACGCCAAAAAGUGUCCCUGGCCGCCUACACCCACUAUACAUCCACAAACCCGUGUGCACUGUCUUGGAGAAAGGCUUCAGAGAAGUUUUUUGUGGCCUCUCUUGGGGUCUUUCUUCGCUACAAACUCGAAUGGUUAGUAUGAACGUGGAACUUGGUUGGACCGUCACUGGCCAACAAACUAUACACAACUUUCGACAACGGAUCUCUUGGUUCUCCCAUCGAUGAAGAACGCAGCGAAACGCGAUAGGUAAUGUGAAUUGCAGAAUUCCGUGAAUCAUCGAAUCUUUGAACGCACCUUGCGCUCUAUGGCAAUCCGUAGAGCAUGCCUGUUUGAGUGCCAUGAAAUCUCCCACCCCAAGCGGUUUUUAAAUGAAACGGCUUGGCGGAUGGGGUCUGGAUGGGUGCCUCUGCCUGCGCUACCUAGCACAGGCUCGCCCGAAAUGCAUGAGCGCCUUGAGACACUUUGCAUCCGCCUCUCUGUUUGGGAGGAGGCGGCCAAGCAGUGUUUUUCUCCUGGCAUGGCAUGAUACGUCAUUUGCUAUGUCGCCUAAAGGAGGAAUGUUUGGUUGUGUCUGCGUGUGCUUCGAACUUGCCUCUGUGGCACAUCCCAAUUUCACUUCUGGUCUCAAAUCAGGUAGGAUCACCCGCUGAACUUAAGCAUAUCAAUA
rnacentral:rRNA from 1 species